rnacentral:lncRNA from 1 species
UAAUCUAAAUAAUUAGCUUAUAUAAUAUGUAAACUCAAAUUCUCCACCAUUCAUUUUUCCUCGAUCGCUUCGUUUAUUUUAUUAAGAAAUAAACUUAGCUGAAAAUAUGAAUCAAUUAGGAUUCGAACUUAGGUUUCGGAUACUAACCACCAAGUCCUUUGCCACUUGCCCUAGGGACGGUUGGUUAUAGCGUGUAGUAUGUUACACAC